UGGGGAAUUUUGGACAAUGGGCGAAAGCCUGAUCCAGCAAUGCCGCGUGUGUGAAGAAGGCCUUCGGGUUGUAAAGCACUUUUGUCCGGAAAGAAAUCCUUGGCUCUAAUACAGUCGGGGGAUGACGGUACCGGAAGAAUAAGCACCGGCUAACUACGUGCCAGCAGCCGCGGUAAUACGUAGGGUGCAAGCGUUAAUCGGAAUUACUGGCGUAAAGCGUGCGCAGGCGGUUUGCUAAGACCGAUGUGAAAUCCCCGGGCUCAACCUGGGAACUGCAUUGGUGACUGGCAGGCUAGAGUAUGGCAGAGGGGGGUAGAAUUCCACGUGUAGCAGUGAAAUGCGUAGAGAUGUGGAGGAAUACCGAUGGCGAAGGCAGCCCCCUGGGCCAAUACUGACGCUCAUGCACGAAAGCGUGGGGAGCAAACAGGAUUAGAUACCCUGGUAGUCCACGCCCUAAACGAUGUCAACUAGUUGUUGGGGAUUCAUUUCCUUAGUAACGUAGCUAACGCGUGAAGUUGACCACCUGGGGAGUACGGUCGCAAGAUUAAAACUCAAAUGAAUUGACGGGGUCAUAGCUGUUUCCU
rnacentral:rRNA from 1 species